rnacentral:lncRNA from 1 species
GUUGUGGAAUAUUGUGGUCUGCUGGUACUGCUUAUUAGUUGGUGGUGAAUGUCCUUAACCUUUAUUUCACUACUUCUUAAUACAAAGGUCUAAUUUUUUUGAUGCCUUAUAAUCUACAAACAAUGUAGAACAUGAUUUUAAAAUUUAGAAAUCCUUCAUAUGGUUACAAACAUGGGACUUCAUGGAAUUUGAAGAGUUCAUGUGUGUAGAAUAUAGCACCAUAUUCAGUUUUUAUAAAUGUAUUAAAUAUUACCAUGUGGCCUGUUAGUAUAAUAUUGCAAACAUAAGGAAUCUGGGCCAGGGCAACAAUUGGAUUGUACAGAAUGCAAAAGAAGAAUGUGAUAAGUUGAAUUAUUUGAACUACCAAAUACUCAGCAAUUUCUCAGAAUCAAUUGUAAACAUCUUCACUAAGAGCUGAAAUACAUUCCUGGGAACAUGAGUUUGACAGAAGUGUUUCUUUAUAUUUUGUACUCAAAGCCAAAGCAUCUGGCACCAAUUUCCUUAGACCUUUCUCAGUUUCAAACCUACCAUCCGACUCUCUGCAUACCUUGAGAUCUCAGUUGAAUCUUUGCCUCCAGAGUCCUGAGGACAAAAGGAUAACAAACUGGAAAGAACCGAAUAGUAAUGAUUUUGGUCCAUGAAAACCCCCAGGACUUCAGUGUAUCCAUAGCAAGGCAACUAGCAAUGGCUACAACAAAGUUGAAAUGCUUAAUUUCACAAUUUUGUAGGAAAUGCUGUGAAAGUUUUGAAAGUGUCAAGAAUAAAAAAUAUGAAUUGGAAAGAAUUUUUCCAUAAAGCUACAAUCAGUACUUUCGUUAGGAGCUCGGGCAACAUGGCUGCCCUGGAUACUGUGGAACUUGUGAGGCUAACCAGUAGAUUCCAUCACUAGAGAACGUCAUCACUUAAAUGUCUACAGCAGUGUAUCCGUUUCAUCAAGCAAGGAUUAAUAUGUAAGCAGAAUUAUUUAAUGCAGUCCCACACUGACAAACUAAGCCUGAGAAGAUGUAGUGGUUUCCAGUUUACAAAGUGCCAGAGACUGAGUUCUUAUACUGGCUAAUUCAAAGGAAGCUGGCAAACAAUUUAAAGAUGUAAUUUGCAUCCUGGCUGGUGAUAUUCUCUGACUUGCUGAGCCUCUUAUGCAGCUUGUUUGCAUUGGCUGGGCAGAUUUGCUGUUUCUAUUCUAACUGCAUUGUGUGCAGCAUGAAGAAUGCUGAUUAAUUCUUGUCGGUAACCAUCCAACACACUGCCAGUGUUUCACAUUUAUAUCCUCCAAUCCAAAAUCUGUGUAUGCAUUCCUUAAGUCAUUAGUGGGAAUAGCAUGUAAUGUGUAAAUAAACCUGCUUUUGAUUUGGAUGAAAAAUAACUGUUGAUCCUCUGCUCCCUUUAAAAUACAGGAAUUGCAUUAGAUGGGGGGAUCUUCUAUAGUCUUCGUCUGCUUCAAGUGGCUUUAAUUAGCAUUUUUUAAUUGUCCCCACAGCUGCCACUCAUGGAAAACUCAAAAUAUCACUUGUAACUGGAAGAUAAACUUGCAGUUUGUGCAUAGCAUGAAGUCAGUAGAUCUUCAUAAACUGUAGACAUUGCAACUACUCAGCAUUAUUGUUCUAGUAAUGGUACUGGAGUGUUUCUUGGACAGCCAUUUUUGAUACCUUUUGAUUAUAUGGUAGGUGAUUUUCUCAUCUUAUUACUUUAAAAGAGAAAGGUAACAAAUGAUAUCUAGGCGAGUCCCAUUUAGCAUAUUGUUCACUGUUUUGUUCAGAGAAUAAAUGUUUUUUACUAGUCCAUGUUUGCAGUGCAUCAUGUUGACACUCCUCAUGCGGAGUUGGCUGGCCCAUGUGCACAACACACCUCAGUUCCUUCUCACCCCCUUUCCCUCCUCCUCCCAUCUCUCCAUUCCCUUUUCUUUCCAAAAAGAUUUAUCUUUAGACUUCCUAUCAUCUUUUUUACUUUGUUCUUUAUUUAUAUUUUGGUUUAUCACUAUGGAAAUCAGUAUGAAGAUUACUAAAAAAAUGAAAACUUAAAUUCCACCUGACUCAGCCAUUCCCCUUCUGGACGUUUUCCUGGCAAAGUUAAAGACAUCAUAUUACAGCAAUUCAUGCACACCCAUGUUUAUAGAAGCACAAUUCAUACUAGUUAAAUCUUGCAAACAACCUAUAUGUCCACCAACAGAGUAAAUAAAUUUUUAAAUGACAGGUUGUAGUUUGAAAAGUCAUUUUAUUAGAAACCUUAAAGUAUUCUGAGAAGAAAAAGGCAUCAUUCCUUACUUUGAAGCUUAUAGUCAAGUUAUAGUUUACAGUAGAGUAUGCAGUCAGAAUUAAAACAAUAACUGACACUAUUAAAAUGAAUUUAUCCUUAUUUUCUUGACUUCAUUCCCAACUUUACCUAGCUUUUCUUGGGUUCCUAAAUGGAACUAUCAAAUCAUAUGAUUAGAUUCAUCAUAACUGACCUUUUUGCUUUCUGAAAAAGUAAGUAUCUAAGAGAAUAGAAUGGUUUAAAAUAUUUUUUGUACUGUCAGUGAAGGAGGUAGAAAUGACAACCACUCACAAUGGAUGAAACCGUAGGGGAGUUAUAUUAUUCAGGUGAUUGGGAAGACCUCAGGAAAGUCUACAGCAAGGACCCUGUUAGGUUUUCUUGUGCUGAUUAUCACUGCAGUUCCCUCAGUUGGCUGUACUCUGACCCCUUAUCCGUUUAUGUUGUGUCUUCUGGAACGUUUAAUGUUUAUUUUGCAUUGAUAGAGUUUCUUGAUUGGAAAAUUUUUGUUUCCUGAAAAGUUCAGCAGAAAACCCCACAAUGAACAUUACAGUUACAUUAUAAUUGGCCUGAAUUGGCUCCUGUGUCCACCAUUUAAACAAGUGGAAGGAAGGCUAAGGACGUUUUUGGUCAGCAUUAGCCCAGCCCUAAGAUGCAGAUAAGGAGAGGCCUCUUUUCAUUAUGUUUCUUGAGAAUGAAAAGUUUUUCAGGGAAAAUCAGGAUGUGAUUAUCGGAAACAGAAAUGGAACUAACAGUGGGAAAAAAAAUGAAUAAAAGGGGAGAAAGGAGUGAAGAACUAGCAGUGGGGAAGGAGAAGAAAGGAAAAAUAAGGAAAAGACGGGAGAGGAAGGACUGGAAGGAAGAAGGCUGCCGUUUUAUUGAAGGGUUAAUCAGCAAGGAAGCAGCAGGGCAGGGGGCAGAGGAGCUGAGCUCUUAGCUGGAAUUCUAAUAGGAUCAUUAAUUUCUGUAUAAUUGUGUGAUAAGUCCAUUUGGUUAACUUGGAAGAGCAGUUUCAUUAAUUAGCCGUGUCUAUGCGGAAACACACACAACGCACAGUCACAUAAAUACCUGCAUACCUGUGAUUGGCCCCACAAGACUUCUGAGAUAAAGAAGAUUUACAAUGAAUCUCAUAGUUUUUUCUGGGAAAAUUCGCUUAUAGUCACUUCGUGCCUCACAGAAAUGUGUGCAGGUCUUGAUUGUGCAUAAAAUAAAUGGUAGGCUUAUAUAGGAAGAGUAUUUUUUUAUAUAAGAAGGUCACAAAAUCUCAUGAUAUAAAUUAGGGCACUAACUUUACCAUGCAUUUUAUAUAGAUUCUUUUUAAAUUUUUUUAUUGAGUUUAUUGAUAUAUUUAAGUACACCUUAUUAUCACAUUCAUCAUUGAGAAUUGGUACCUGUACAUGAUGUAUCUUUAUAUAGAUUCUUUCAUUGUAUUUACUGCCUUGUGAUUGGACCUAUGCUUCACACAAUUCAGGUCAGUGUGAUUGAAGCCCAAGGUUUACUAUCUGCUCACACUGAAUGCUUUUUGUCUUGAAGUCAUAUUACUAUGUGCAUAUGUGAAAAUUCUCAUUAUUUCUGGAACUGAAAAGUCAUUUUUCCCUUUUUAUGCUAUUUUUAUAAAAUAAUAAAGUCACAUGUAAUACAAUACUUAAAUUAUUAUACCAAUAUCACUAUAAAGACAAAAAUGGAAAAAUUAAAGUGAACCAUGGCUGGUUGUGCCAGUGAGCUUAAUAUGUUUGUUCUUUGUUGAAAAAGUCAAAAUCUAAAUCCUACACAAGGGACUGCUGGUUUCCACUUAGGGAUAUGGAGAAGUAGAAUGAGUAUCAUUCUCAUCUACAAUGAAGAGAACUGGACACACAGGCAGCUCAUGACUUGGGGACACUGCAUGACAACUAACCCCCAGACUAAGCAGAGGGCCCAGGAGUGAGAAGAGACUGGAGCCCUAACUUACAAAGACAAGAUGUACCUGAAUCUGGGCUCUGAUUGAAAAGGUGGGCCACAUCCAACUUGUGAUUGGUGAUCUCAGUGGAGAGGAAUUGUGAGAAAAGACUGUAUGAAAAAGGCAGAAAUAAAACACAUGGUAACAUUAAAAAUGACCUCAGCGAGCUCCUCAGUGCUGACACAACUAAGGAAAAAAGAAUCCACAGCUCUGAUGGAUUGGUCACCUUUCCGGUUGCUGCGACAAAACACCAGACACCACAGCCUGCAGGAGGAGAGGUUACUUUAGCUCAUGGUUUCAGCAGGUGCAGUCUAUGGCCAGCUAGUUCCGAGGCAGGAAGCUCAGGAGCUUGUAGCAAAGCUGUUCAUUUCACAGCAGAGGCGGUGUGCCCAGGGCAGUAGUGACAGUGAGAGGUGAACCCUGAAGGCACAGCCCAGUGUCCACCUCCUCCAUCUGGGUCCUACAUCCUGCAGCACACUCAGUCCUGCACAUCAGUGGGUCAAGCCAUCACUGACUGGUAUCCCAGGGUCCACCCCACUCCCCAAGGGUCCCUGAGUCCAGUCAAGUUGAAGGUUUUCUGGCACAAUGAGAAUAGAUCUAUAGAAAUGACCCAAACUGAAACAAGAGGGAAAGAAGAGCAAAUCCAGUGUACAAAAGGUAUUUUGAGGUAGGAGUAUACAUGUGACAUGAGUAAGUACAGCACAUACACAUGUACAAUGGAAAGCCAUCCUUCAAUAUUUGACUGACUUGGUUCUAACUUGGAAGGAAGAUGUCAGGAGCUCCUUAGGAAAUAAACACAGUGAUUGUUUUAGCAGUUCCAGUCCCUUCUUAAUGUUGGGUCAUUCAGUCACACAUGCCUGAAUGACUUCAUUGACUGGCAGUUGUCAACUUCCGCUGAGCCAAAAGGAAGCAAGGGAAGUCUUUGACUCCCUGCUCUCUUGCAAUAGGAAUCCACCCUCAGUUUGAAAGAUUUGACAGAGUCAGCUGGGGUUCCACUGGCUUGUUUAGGUAUCAUUUCCUUGUCUUUCCCCUAUUCUCAAUAGAUUAACUUAAUUAAAAUUACCCUCAUUAAGUGUCAAAUGACAAAACCUCAACCUGAAGUGGCUGGCUGAAUGAUAUGCCUUGGUCUGUGUACACAGGCUACAGGCAUGGCUGGGCGGCAUGCAGGCCGAGGUCCAACUGUGGUCAGUUGCAUUUUCAGGCAGGUUCUCACUCUUGGUCCAACAUGGUCCCCAGCAAUUCCUGUCACACUGUGUUCCAUUGUAGCAACUGAGCAGAAAGCGUUGAACUGAUCCCAGAAUCACUGACCCAAGGAGGUGGAGUGAGUGGCUUUGUUAAUCAGGGCAGUGGAAGGGAGUGAACUCACUCCACCCCCGAAGGCUGGGGAUGUGAGAACCACCCACCUGAAUGGGGGACUGGGAGGAGAAGGGGGUGAGUCCUCAGGACCAGAAGGGCAGUGGCCGCAGAGCAAGCAAACGCUGCCUGUCUGCUACUGGGAGUGGAGCCUCAGGGCUGCAGCUCUUGAACCUCAGAAGCAGAGAGGGGGGCAGGAAAGUGUCAGCAGGGAGUAGGGCAGGAGGAUUAUUAGGCAGGGCAGCUCUCUCCUGCGGUGUUGGAAUCCUGGUCUGUUGCCCAGUGUGUGGAUAGUCAACAUGAAAAGAAUUUUUCAGUAACUAAAAGUAUGUAUUUGCUUUAUGACCAUGUGACAUAUUCGGUUCUUAUGGCCAUAGUGAUACUAUCUUCUUCUUGGUUCUCUGAUACAGAAUAAAAGACAAAGAACUUAAGAUUUUAAAUAAUUAGGCCUUUUAUAUUAAAAUGGACACACAGAUGGAUUUAAAUAUGUAUGCAUAAAAAUGAAACCCCUGAAAUAGGUAAUGCUGAGAAAGAAUCAUUUGUAACAUCCUAAAUUAGUGUUCUAUUUAUAGUUGAAUAGCAAGAGAUAAGCUUUGGUAUUAAAAUAGGCAGAGGUUUAUUACAGACGCUGAUGUGGAAAGUUUGAUCUAGGGAUCUGCUGUGAAAUCUGAGCGUAAUAUUUAUUUUUGUUUGAUUGGUUUUUAAAUAUUUAUUUUUAAUUUAUUGUUUUGACUCCUCACAUAAAUAAAUGCUUGUAGAAAAUUUACACUUUAUGACAAUGAAUGCUUUUAAUCUAAAUGGUACAUCUUAUUUUAAAUAAAUG